rnacentral:lncRNA from 1 species
UCAUUAGCAUUCCACUAAUAUAUAAAGCAUCAUAUGUGUUAGGAAAACACACAUAAAAGAAAAUAAAGGAACAUAAUAGUUACACAAGAAUAUAAUGCGAAAACUCCAAAAUUAGAGAACAAUCAUGAUCAUUGUCUAAUGACAUAAAAAACUACUAUGUGAAAUUUUUAAAAACACAUAGAUUACCUUCAACCACCCCACAUUCUAAAUACACACAUACUUUCCAAAGCAAAUAUUUAAC